UACGUAGGUGGCGAGCGUUGUCCGGAUUUACUGGGCGUAAAGAGCGCGCAGGCGGCUGGUCAAGUCCGAUGUGAAAGCUCCCGGCUUAACUGGGAAAUUGCAUCGGAAACUGAUCGGCUGGAAGGUGGGAGAGGGUAGCGGGAUUCCCGGUGUAGUGGUGAAAUGCGUAGAUAUCGGGAGGAACACCAGUGGCGAAAGCGGCUACCUGGCCCAUUCUUGACGCUGAGGCGCGAAAGCUAGGGGAGCAAACGGG
rnacentral:rRNA from 1 species